rnacentral:rRNA from 1 species
UAUAGAGUUUGAUACCUGGCUCAGGAUGAACGCUGGCGGUCUGCUUAACACAUGCAAGUCGAACGGAAUCCUUCGGGAUUUAGUGGCGGACGGGUGAGUAACACGUGAGAAUCUGCACUCAGGAUGGGGACAACAGCGGGAAACUGCUGCUAAUACCCAAUGUGCCGAAAGGUAAAAGAUUUAUCGCCUGAGAAUGAGCUCGCGGCCGAUUAGUUAGUUGGUGGGGUAAUGGCCUACCAAGACGGCGAUCGGUAGCUGGUCUGAGAGGAUGAGCAGCCACACUGGGACUGAGACACGGCCCAGACUCCUACGGGAGGCAGCAGUGGGGAAUUUUCCGCAAUGGGCGCAAGCCUGACGGAGCAAGACCGCGUGGGGGAGGAAGGCUCUUGGGUUGUAAACCCCUUUUCUCAGGGAAGAAGUUCUGACGGUACCUGAGGAAUCAGCCUCGGCUAACUCCGUGCCAGCAGCCGCGGUAAUACGGAGGAGGCAAGCGUUAUCCGGAAUUAUUGGGCGUAAAGCGUCCGUAGGUGGUGGGGCAAGUCGGCGGUUAAAGACUGGGGCUUAACUCCAGAAAGGCCGUGGAAACUGCACCACUAGAGGGCAGUAGGGGUAGAGGGAAUUCCCGGUGUAGCGGUGAAAUGCGUAGAGAUCGGGAAGAACACCAGUGGCGAAAGCGCUCUACUGGACUGCAACUGACACUCAGGGACGAAAGCUAGGGGAGCGAAUGGGAUUAGAUACCCCAGUAGUCCUAGCCGUAAACGAUGAUGCUAGGGUACGC